ACGAACGCUGGCGGCGUGCUUAACACAUGCAAGUCGAACGGUGAAAGAGGAGCUUGCUCCUCUAGAUCAGUGGCGAACGGGUGAGUAACACGUGAGUAACCUGCCCUUGACUCUGGGAUAACCUCGGGAAACCGAAGCUAAUACCGGAUACGACCCUCGGAGGCAUCUCCAGGGGGUGGAAAGAAUUUUGGUCAAGGAUGGACUCGCGGCCUAUCAGGUAGUUGGUGAGGUAACGGCUCACCAAGCCGACGACGGGUAGCCG
rnacentral:rRNA from 6 species